AAGAAGAGGAAGUCCGCGACUAGGAGAGCGCUCCGCCGCCCGUAUUUGUCGUUCAACCAGCCGCCGACGGCCGCGCCCAGGAUGGCUCCUGCUACGGCCAUGCUCACUAUUGCUUCCUGUUUGAUCCAACCAAAGAAAUGAGCACGGUUUUUCUAUCAACAGAGGUGAAGUCAUCUCUGAUAUAAAGAAGAGCCCCUGAUAUCACCCCUGCACAGCCAUCCCAAAAUUCAACACAAAUUUCAUAAAUGCAUGACACAACACAACACAUCUCUCUCUGUCUCUCUUCUGUCUCAGUUAAACCUGUGUCGUAGCCGAAGAGGAGGCCGCCAAUGCCGGCGGAGAAAGCGAGGCGAAGAACAAAAGGAUUCUUGGAUGCGAGCGACAAGCAGUCUCCGAAAGCCGAGGUGUCUGCUACGCCGCUGUGUAUACCUCCUUCCAUCUCUACUGAUUAUUCUACAAUUCAAGGUAUGAAUUAAACUGGUCUAAUUUCUCAUAGCAGUGCGUGUUUUUGUUUAGAGAGAUGGAAAUAGUGAGAUGAUCACUAUAAUCUGAGGAGGGAGAGUGGUAAAGAAGAAUGAGAUAACUGAGAUUGAAUUUAUAGAGAAGAGAUGAACACUACAAACAAACUGUGGAAACUGCCAGAUGACAUUUUAUUUAUCAGAUAAAUUUUUA